UGAUCAACUCUAUGCAAAGGAGAUGUGUCACACUGCAUGAGGCUGGAUAAAGGUUGAGCACCUGGAAAGGAUGGAAUGAAGAGGGGAGGAAUGAUCGCUGAGAUCAGAGAUGAAACUUAUGGUGUCGGAGAAAGGAUUUUUCACCCAGAUGUCUAUUCACUGCCUUCGACACCGUGAAAAAUCAGAUUCUCCUCUCCACCCUCUCAGGGCUCUGCGUCUCAGGCUCUGCACACUCUUGGAUUGCAUCCUACCUGGCAGGCUGCUCCUACCAAGUGACGUGGAGAGAAUCUGUGUCUGCACCACGUACUCUCACUACUGGUGUCCCCCAGGGCUCGGUUCUAGGUCCUCUGCUCUUCUCUCUAUACACCAAAUCACUCAGCUCUGUCAUAUCCUCACUGGUCUCUCUUAUCAUUGCUUGGCGGGUGACAACUACUUUUCUCCUUCACCCCUUUUGACACCAUCAUUCUUUGGGGAUGCUUUUCUGCAAAGGGGACAGGACGA